GUGAAGAACGUAGCGAAAUGCGAUACGUAAUGUGAAUUGCAGAAUUCAGUGAAUCAUCGAGUCUUUGAACGCACAUUGCGCCCCCUGGUAUUCCGGGGGGCAUGCCUGUCCGAGCGUCAUUGCUGCCCUCAAGCACGGCUUGUGUGUUGGGCCUCCGUCCUCCUCCCGGGGGACGGGCCCGAAAGGCAGCGGCGGCACCGCGUCCGGUCCUCGAGCGUAUGGGGCUUCGUCACCCGCUCUUGUAGGCCCGGCCGGCGCUUGCCGACACAUCAAUCUUUUUUCCAGGUUGACCUCGGAUCAGGUAGGGAUACCCGCUGAACUUAAGCAUAUCCAAUAAGCGGAGGA
rnacentral:misc_RNA from 1 species